AUGAUCUUCAAACUUGACUUCAGAAAGGCAUUUGAUUCGGUUGCUUGGAACGCCCUAGACAAAAUCCUGGCUGUCCGUGGCUUCUCCCAAACUUUCCGUGGUUGGAUUCAAAAUAUCCUCCAUACUGGCAAGACUGCCAUCCUCCUCAAUGACAUUCCAGGUCAUUGGAUCCCAUGUAAGAAUGGUUUGCGUCAGGGCGACCCGGCCUCCCCCUACCUCUUCCUAAUAGUAGUUGAUCUACUCCAGCAACUUAUCAUACAGAGCACCGAUCCCGAUCUCCAUCACCCCAUCUUUACCCACCUGCCCCCUACCAUCCUCCAAUACGCAGACGAUACAUUGAUCAUCGCAGCCGCCUCUCCCGCCGCAGCUGCCACACUAAAAAAAAUCCUUUAG
rnacentral:rRNA from 1 species